UGUACAGGUAGCUCAAACUGCA
rnacentral:siRNA from 1 species